rnacentral:rRNA from 1 species
UGAACCCACGGGGCGCAGCAGUGGGGAAUAUUGCGCAAUGGGCGAAAGCCUGACGCAGCGACGCCGCGUGAGGGAUGAAGGUCUUCGGAUCGUAAACCUCUGUCAGCAGGGAAGAACGGUCACUGUGCUAAUCAGCAGUGAAUUGACGGUACCUGCAAAGGAAGCACCGGCUAACUCCGUGCCAGCAGCCGCGGUAAUACGGAGGGUGCGUGCGUUAAUCGGAAUUACUGGGCGUAAAGCGCUCGUAGGCGGUAUGUCAAGUCAUGGAUGAAA